rnacentral:lncRNA from 1 species
GGGCUUUUCUACAUUUUGGUUGCAGACAGGGUGCCUGAGUCCAGUUCAUUCUUAGAUGUUUUCAGCAAGGUAAGAUUCCCUUUUCAUAUUUUUAGAUAGUGAGUUCGGCAAUACAAUUUAUUAUGCUUGUGAGCACAUGCGAAGAUACCGGAGAGCAAAAAACUUAUUCUAGAAUUGAGGAGGAAUAUUGUCUUACCUCUUUGAUUAUCGAAAUGGUAUAGAGAAUGGAUUAUAGACGGUCGUUUUGAUUAGUGUUGAUGAGAAGAUUAUUAUUUGCUGGAGUAGAAACUGUUUAAUAUGAUUCUUAGGCGAUAAUAGAACUAUAAUCCUCUUCUUGAUUUUAGCAAGAAACACCAAGCCUCUGAUAAGUGAUAACUGCAUGGUUUUUGCAGAUGUACAAUGAUAUAAACCAUUCUGCUUUUGUUUGGGGAGCAUUUGUUUUAGCUGGAGUUGCUGUCAUUGCUGCCGCUGUGGGUUACAGGCGUAGGAAUAAGUACGAAGAUGGAUACCAACCAAUUAUGAUCUGAACUUGUUCUUAUGAGGCUUAGCCAUGUGUAUUAGACAGAAAUAAUGUUAGCUCUGUACCAUAUGUUAUUGAAACUCUCGUUUCCCUUUGCUAGACGAGUGUGAAUAAACCCGGGCGACUCACAGUCUGCUGUGGACCAAUGUGGGUUAUGGUCUAGCCCAAUAUUAAUGCCAUUACUGUUGUUAGUAAUUGGAACUGUGUGAUUUAUGUGAUCCUUUGUUGGACUUUUAUGUCCAUUUCUUUCAUUUUCUCUACGACUCCUGUAGCUGGUUGUGUUCAACACUAUGUUGACAUUUGUAAGGGACCUGUCCUAAGUUGAGAAAAUGCAAAGCAUUAUUGGGUCGCUAUUUCCUGUGGCAGCUGCCAAGUUUGAGUAUCUUCGCCUUAGAGGAACCACAUAUGUUACUUUUUUUUAUAAAAAAAAAAAAUUAUUUCAUGUUUUUAUUCUGCAUGUGUGUUAUUUAAUAAUAAUCGUUGAAAGAACUGUUUUAAAUAUUUUACUUCAUCAUAGUUUCUCCUACAAUUAUGGAUCUCUGUUUCCUAGUUUUCCCCUUCUCAAACGAUCUAUAUACACGGUAAGCUUAAAGUAUGCAUGCUUCGUCAUAUAUUUAACACAAGUGUGCAUAUUGCAACUAAUAUUUUGGGAUGCAUCACACAAUAAUUUUACAAUAUAUCCAUAGUGCUUUGUGACAUUACCUUUGACUUUUAUCAAUUGCAUUGCUACCAGAGAUAGUGCAUUAUUAACUAUGAUACUGUAAAGAAUUCAAUUUGAAAUCAAAUUAACAAUCGACAAUGAAUCAUAAUAUGGUCAAAUAAAAAAUAAAGAGAUACGUACUAGCUUUGAAAUGGGAAAAUAAAUCAUGAACGAAUGAUUUAGUUUUUUUUUUUUUAAAUUUUUCUUUCCUCUCUCUUUCUCUUCCACUAUGAGUUCUCUCCGUCGUCAACUCUUUUUAUGGUGAUGAACAAAUUGGACUUUAUGACCAUAACAUUAUAAUUACAAAUAAUAAUAAUAAUAAUAAUAAUAAUAAUAAUAAUAAAUAAGAUUCAAUGAGAAUGAUGCAAUUGAUUGGUAUUCUUGAUUAUUAUUAUUAUUAUUAUUUUUUGCUUCUUUAACUAAACUUAAAAGUUUCAUUACUAACCACAACAACAAUAUGAAAGAAAUUAGAAUGUUGCGGAAUUUCUUUUUUGUAAUUGUUUUAUUUUUCUAAAUUAAUUCGGAUGGGGACGAAGGCAAAUGGAAGAGAACAAUAAAAAUCAUUGGCUCUGAAAAUAUUUUUCUGUAGGAUGCCCUGCCUUCUGAAACCUCCUCAACGUUAAAUCUUUUUUUUGUUUUUAUAGUAUCAGAGUUCAGAUUUUGUGCUUUAAUUGCCGUUGCUUUGUGGAAGUCAUUUCUCCUUCGCAUAUCCACCUCCUGCCUUCAAGUGAUUUUUGUGGGACCAAAAUCUUUUUCCUUUUUCACAUUUAAUAUAAUAACUGCAUGGUCUGUUGUAAAUUUUUAAUUGUCGAAGAAGGGAGUUGAAUGAUGAAAUGAGAAUAAAUUUAUCAUUUAUGUAAUCUUAUGAAGUGAUGAACUUGUACCAUUGUAUGUAAUUGGGGUUUUAAAUUGGAUAUUAGCACCACCCUCAUGUGCUUACAGAUUAAUUAACAGCACAAACACGUGGGCUUGGUGAAAAAGAGCAUAAGCUAGGUCUAGCUUAUUUGAGGGUGUUCUUAGGCCGGGCUUCACAUGUGUUGGCCCGCUUGGACCCAGACCUGGGCUUCAAUCAGAAAGCCUGAGCAUGGCCUGACUCUCGGACGUUAAAUUUUUAACACCCCUGUAAAAUUCUAAUAGCGCCUCUUCAGUUACAAACUGGUUAUUCUUUUAGGAAAUUUAUUUAAAACCAAAUUACUAAAUAAAAAGUCAAUAAAUAACUGUAAGUUAAAUUACUUGACCGUAGGGAUGGCAAAAUAAUCUAGGCCCGGUUUGGAUCCGGAUGAUCCGGGCCGGGUUCAACCUGUACCGCAUUUAAAUAAUAUGUGGGUUUGGUAUUAAUUUUUUAAAACCCGGACAUAUCCAGGUUUAGUUCCGGGUUCAACUGAACCAGUAUGUCCGGAACCCAGACCCGGAUAUAUUUAUAUUCAAUAUACGUAUAAAAAAAAUGUAUGGAAAAAGAACAAAACCCUAGUUUGCACUUUUGGCUUUUAACUCAAACCGGCCACCACCAUUUCAUCUCUUUUUCAUCUCCCAAAAAUUCAUCAAUUCACAGCCACCACCAUUUCCUCUCAUUUUCAUCUCCCAAACUCACCAAUUUAAAUCAUCAUCAUCAAAUCAUUAUCAAUCAUCAUCAAAGGCUUGAAUUCUCAAUAUCUCCUAAACUCAUUCACGGUCACGGCUGGCAACAGAAUAUCAUGCACACGAAGUGACGAAUUGGGAUUCAUGGACGUAGACGAAGCAAUGACCAACUAUACAAAUUUACUGGAUUUUCAUUCCCUGUCGCCAUUUGUGUUCUAUUUUACUAUUAGUUUAGCUUUUGUUUGAUGAUGACAAGCUGACAAUCACAAAAUUUGGGUUUUGUUUUGCAUUUUUGCUUCAUUGUUUUGUUAUAUUCUUUAAUCAAUUUCUUCUGUUUGAUUUAAAUAUUAUUCCUAUUUUCGCAUUGAAGCAAUCAGUGAUGGAAAAAAGUUGCAAGUUCAACACUCAGUGCCUUACCUCUGUUUUUACAUUCUGAAACAAGCCUAAAAAUGGUGCCCAUCUGGGUUCAAAACCCGGAAUCCGAAAACCUGGAUUUUUCUGGGUUGAACCCGGACCCGGACCCAGGUGAAAAAAUCCGGGUUAAAACCCGGGUCCGGGAGAAGAAAAUGGCAUUCGGGUCCGAAAUCGGGAAGGCUAAACCCGAACCUGGACUCGAAUUUUGCCAUCCCUACUUGACUGGUUGCUUUCACUUUAUUCAAUAAAUAAUUGAGUAGAGCAGGGGCGCAUCUAGGAUUUUAAAGUAUCCCCGGUUAAAUUUUUUUUUUAAAGUUAUAUUAUAAAGAAAACAUAAAAUUUUAUAAAAAAAUAAAAUACACAUAAUAAGAUGAGAAUAUUAGAAAUCUUACACCAAAUAAUAAUUACUUUAAACAAAAUAAUUUUAUAAAAAUGUAAUUCAAAAUAAAAAUAUAACUAAAAUUUUAUUUUUCGCAGCUUCAAACAAUAGAAUUCAUCAAUUAUGGAUUUUGAAUCAAUAGUAUCUGACUACUUGGUAGCUACUAUUGAGGUUUUUAACCGCAACCUAUUCUCUAAGGGCUCAUUUGGUUUAAGUAUAAAAUGAUGAGAUUGGACAAUUUUAGGAUAAAAUUAUCCUAAUGCAGUGUUCGGUAACCAAAAAUAAUUGUGGGAUAAAAUUAGUGGAGCCCACCAUUUAGUCCAAACAAUGUCAAAAUUUUAUCACAAGGGGGAGUGUGGGAUAAGCUAAAACUUAGCCAUAGGAUAAGAAAAAAAAAAGCCCAAAAUUCCUCUCUAUCCCUCUCAUAAUUCCUGUUAUGUUUAUAAUGAUAUUAUUUAGUAAAAUAUAAGUUUAAAACUAUAACAUGUUAAAUAUAAAAAAUUAAGGGAAGAAUUUGUAUUUUUUAACAAAUUUACCAAUAAUUACUAAUUUAAUUUAGAUUAUAUUUCAUGUCAUUUUAAAAUAAAUCUAAAGUAAUUUUGAUAAAUUAAUAUAUAUGACAUAUUAUUAGUUACUAGUCAAUCUCAUGUCAUACCAAACAUAAGGCAUGAUUAUUUAUAGUCCAAUCCAACAUUGCACCAAACAUAAUAUAGUAUUAUAUAUAAUCUAGUGUUAUCCAAUUCAAUCAUAUCUUAUCUAAUUCGAUCCGAUCCAAUCCAAUCCAAUCCGGCAUACCAAAUGAGCCCUAAAACAUUGUUGUGAAGAUUGUGCAUUUAUUUAUUUUUUUAUCAAUAUGUUUAAAUGGGUCCUUUAACUUGCUUCAUCUACUACUUGGAUUUAUUGGACAUUAUAGCCUAUAAAAUACCAUAACAUGAAACUAAAGAAGAAUUAAUAAAUUAAUUAAUAAUUACAAGCUUAAUUAGCAUGCUUAAAUAAAUUAAACAAUUCAAUUUUGUUAAUCUUUUAUAUUUAAAAAAAAUAUUAUUAGUGAAAAAAUAACAAUAAUAAAUCAACUCAAACUAAUAAAUCACAAAACUAAUUAAAAAAAGCCAAUCAAAAUAAUAAAUUAAAAUAAUAUAUAAAAUAAAUCAAUAAAAUCUAACUAAGAAAAAUAAAUAAUUUAUGCAAGUUCUAAAAGUAUAGUAACAUAUCAAUAGAAAAAUUUACAGAUUGCAAAGAAAUCGGAAGAUAUGAACGGAUGAUGAAUUAUGAUUUGUGAAGCAAUGAAGGUGAAUUGACGAAGAAUGAAGAAUCGGGAAGGGUUUGGAAAUUUUUUUGUUUUUUCUAAUGGUGUCGGUGGAAGUAAAGGAAAAAUAAUAAUGAUAUUUUUUUUGUUUUUCUUCUAAUGGUGCCUGUGGAAGUAAUGAUGAUGGAUGGUGUUUUGUAAUGAACAAUCAAUGGUAUUUUUGUUAUUAAUAAUUAAUGAUAUUUUCAUAAUUUUAAUUAAACUAACUUUUUUUUUUUUUUUACAUCGGACUGCAGCCCCGUACGGCCGACUAACAGAUCCACCCCGGUGGAGAGAAUUAAUAAAAAGUCUAGACUAAAUUUACAUUUAAUUCAAUGGUGGAGCUGGACAAUUGGAUAAACCAAUAAAGUUUUCAUUAACGAACAUGAAGGAAGGCCAUUCGGUGUACUGCAGCUUUGAUCCUGUUUGAGUAAAUGCAUUUCAGUAAAGAUGGCUUCUUGCGGUACAGUUGAGUGUCAACGCUUUCCUUGGAGUCCGGUAAUAACCUUAGCUUUCUUGAUCUACAAAUUUAGGAUUUUUCCUUUGCAAAAUAUUUAAUAUUACAUAUCUACGUGUCCCAUCCGAUGAAUAUUUAAGUACGGCUCAUAUCUCGGGCCAUGUAUUAACAGGUCUCCUCCUCUCUAAUGAACUUUUUUGAUUUUUUUUUUAAUUUUUUAAGUAGGGGAGUAAGUAAUUAAUAAAUUUAGGGUGUGUUUAUUUAAGGGUUUAAGAGAUUAGAAUGAAGGAAUGUGAAUAAAACUCAUGUUUACUUGAUCAAAAUGUAAUUUAAAAAUGAAAAUAAAAUAUGUGGGUCCCAUACAAUUUGAAUAUAAAGAAUGAGAAUUUCAUUCACAUGGGGGUUGUGAAUGAAAAUAAAGAAAUAAAAAUAAAACAUGAGUUUACUUUUAUAUCCCUUUAAUUUUUUUUUAUUUUUUUUAAAUUACCCUCAUUCAAAUCACAAUUAAUUUUUAUUAUUUUAAAUAUUAUUAUUAUUAUUAAAUUUUAAACUUUAUUAUUUUAGUUAUUAUUAAUUAUUGUUAUUAUUAUUUUUAUUAAUAUUAUCAUUAUUAACAAUUAUUAUUAUUAUUAUUAUCAUCAUCAUCAUCAUCAUCAAAAUUUAUUAAUUUUAUUAUUUUAAAUGUCAUUAUUAUUAUUAUUAAUUUUAUUAUUUUAGUUAUUAUUAAUUAUUUUAGUUUUUAUUUUAUUAAUAUUAUCAUUAUUAACAAUUAUUAUUAUCAAAAUUUAUUAAAUUUAUUAUUUUAAAUGUCAUUAUUAUUAUUAUUAUUGACUUUAUUAUUUUAGUUAUUAUUAAUUAUUGUUAUUUUUAUUUUUAUUAAAUUAUCAUUAUUAACAUUUAUUAUUAUUAUUAUCGUUAUUAUCAAAAUUUAUUUAAUUUAUUAUUUUAAAUGUCUUUAUUAUUAUUAUUGACUUUAUUAUUUUAGUUAUUAUUAUUAUCAUUAUUAUUAUCAAAAUUUAUUAAAUUUAUUAUUUUAAAUGUCAUUAUAUUAUUAUUAUUGACUAUAUUAUUUUAGUUAUUAUUAAUUAUUUUAUUAUUAUUAUCAUUAUUAACAAUUUUUUAUUAUUAUUAUUAUUAUUAUUAUUAUUAUUAUUAUUAUCAAAAUUUAUUAAAUAUAUUAUUUUAAAUAUCAUUAUUAUUAUUGACUAUAUUAUUUUAGUUAUUAUUAAUUAUUAAUUUUUAUUUUUAUUAAUAUUAUCAUUAUUAACAUUUAUUAUUAUUAAUUUAAUUUUUUUAAUUAAUAGUAUUUUUAUAAUAAUAUUUAUACAUGUAUCUAGUUGAUAAAAAUUACAUUAUUUAAUACUAUGAGUAUUUUGUUAAAUUGAUUCUCAUUUCUAUUCCUUAUUCCCAUUUAUUUUGUCAAGUAAACAUAUCAAUGACAUUCCAGUAAAUUUUCAUUUUUAUUUAUUUUUUACAAGUAAACAUUUCACCUCAUUCACAUUCCUCAUUCUCAUUCUAUAAAAUAAACGCACCAUUAUUUCUUAAUUUUUCAUUUCUGUCAAAUUUCUAAUUCAAUUAGUCACACAAAUAAAAUUACUUACUUGAAAAUCAUUUCCAAGCGUACAAUGAACUUAUUUGUUGGAGCUGGCUAAGUUACAGAUUCUGUAACUUACAGAUCCAACUCAUAUUGCCUGCAUUUGCACAAUUUUUCUCUCUCCUCAGGACACGUGUGUUGCUUCCCAUUGGGUGUGUACGUUACAGAUUCUGUAACGUAGAUUGGUCCCUUAUUUGUAAUGUUGUCUAUUAUUAUAGUUUAUCACUAUUAUUCCUAUCAAUCAGAGACUAUCCGUAGCACGCAACUCCAAACCGAUUUAUUUAAACGUGCUGCCAAACAACACGACUCGCAUAAGAUAAAAUGAAAGAACAAUCAAGAAUCAUCAUUCCAUUAUCCAAUUUUUCUUGCCGUAGCCAGAACGCUUUUCUAAGUAGCGACAUAGGAUAAAUGGAAGAACGAUCAAGCUGAUAUGGCUAUUUUGUCAUUAUUGCUUUUCUUGACUAUCACAUUUAUGUCGAUGCUCCAACUUUCAAUUUCUUCAACAUUUAGCCUUUCUAGAAGCAACAGUACAUACUCUACUGAUGCGACAAAAGGAUUAAAAAAAAAAAAAUGCUCGUUGCGUCACUGCUUAGGCCAUUCUAAAUCUUCAGUUCUCUGUCUGAAGUCUAUCACUUGGUGCAAAAUAGUCAAAUUUUCAACAUUUAGACCAUACGAUAAUCGGACACGUGGAUGAUCCUGUGACUACCACAUUUUUCCAAGUCACGUAGCGGGCCAUUUAUAUUAGUUAAUUCAUUUGUGAAUGUAAUGAGAAAGAACUAAGGCGACGCACACUAGCAGGAGCUGAAACUUUCAGUCUUUCACUGUCUGAAAAGGCCGUUGACCAUUCAAUCUGCGUACGUUCUUUGUUCUCAAAUUUUAUCGUUUGUUUUCAUUUUUCGUUCAUGUCAAGUUUCUGUAUUUGCACACAAUUAAAUGAUCACUCAUUCGCAGGUUUUGCUUUUACCUGACGCUUUUCAAUAGUUUGAUGCACUCUAGUAUUUGUGAUAUAUCUUUCUGCUAGUGCUUGAUGACCCAAGUUGCAUGUGAACGGAUUAGUUAUUCAUUUUACUUUGUUAAUCAGUCAAAUAUCAUAGACCCCAUCUGUUAUUACGGUGGUGAUUGCUAGGAACAGUUGAGAGUCUUGUCAAACUUUUCCAAACAUGUGUCCAAAUAGAUUGAGCUUGUACGUGAGAUAGCUGGAUUUUAUUUGCUUACAAACCUUUUUUGGGAUUAUUUAAAAAUUACAAUUACUGACCUGGUUUCGGAUAUACGAGAGUUGUUUGCUGUUAUCCAAUUUAUUUUGGUUGGAGCACGUUUUAACUGACACAAAGCCGGAAAUACCAGUUCAAUCUCAGUAACCUCUAUAAUUUGUCUCAAAUACGUUGUGUUUAGUUAUUUAUGUUCUUGGAUUUCCAGUUCAUUUAUGGCUUAACUGAUAUAAGAAAGCUGACAGGGAUAUGAGAAAUUUUUCUCAAGGAUGGAAGAUUCUGGUAGCCAUUUUUCUGUUGGGAUUAAGCUUUCCAUACUCACAAGGUUAUAAUGUCAAAUCUAAAGUCUUUUUGUCACCUAAGUUUGUGCUGGGGCCAGGAUCCGUUGAGAAUAAAUUUUACUAUGGGAUUGACUUUCCGAGAGGUCAUAUUGCUCUAAAGAGUUUUGAUGCAGAAGUAAUUGAUGAGGCAGGAAAUCCCAUUCCUCUUCACGAGACUUAUCUCCACCAUUGGCUCGUUGAAAAAUACUAUGGACGUAAAGAUGCAGAAGUACUAGAGUAUAAUGGCAACAGACUUCUUCAUGAAUCAGAUUACAUUUCAGCGAGAAAUGAUGGCAUAUGCCAGAGGAAUUGUCUCGGGCAGUUUUUUGGCCUUGGCUCUGAGACACGAGGAACAGCAACGCAUAUUCCAGAUCCUUAUGGUAUAGAAAUUGGCAAUCCUGCUACAAUUCCUGCAGGCUAUGAAGAGAGAUGGUUUCUUAAUGUCCAUGCAAUUGAUACACGAGGUGUCGAAGAUAGGUUGGGAUGCACCGAAUGCAAGUGCGAUUUGUACAAUGUUACAGUGGAUGAGUAUGGCCAGCUGCUAAGGCCAAAUUACAGAGGUGGUUUUGCGUGUUGUUACGAUGGUACUCAGUGUAGAGUGAAAAAUGGUUUUGAAGGUGCCAGGAGGAGCCUCUAUUUGAGAUAUACCGUAAAGUGGGUUGAUUGGGACACUUCCAUUGUGCCUGUUAAAAUCUACAUAUUUGAUGUCACUGACAAUGAAACACGGUUUAGUGAUUCCACUGGAUUCAGCAUACAGCAUCAUUGCCAGGUAAGUGAAAUUCUUUUUACGAAACUCUCCAAGCUGAAACAGAAAUGAAUUUUAUUUGGGACGCUCAGUGGAAUAGCCUCGGCAUUACUUUCUUCAUCUUUUACGGUUCAUUGAACUAGGUUGUUAUAUAAUCAUUUAAUGCUUGUUUUGGUGCAUUACUGGAAAAAUGGAAUUGGUUCAUUGAUGCAACGAACACAAAGUUGGAAUCUGCAUAAAGCUAAUCGUAAUUUUCUGGAAAACUUUCUUUGGGCUUAGAGUCCUCUUUGACGGCAUACUGUUUAAUAUGUGUGUAUGAAAUGACUUGCGUUGAAGAUAUUUUUUGUUUAAUGUGGAGGAUUUUGUAUUAAAUGUGCACAAAUUUAUAGACAUUCAAGAGCACAUAAGCACAAACACUUACUUCAGCCCUUAAAUUUGAUAAUCAAUAGUGUAAACGUUUUGAUUUGUGAUUUUCUUGCAACUCUUAGUGACUUAAUUUCUUCACAAAUGUGGACCCAUCGGAAUAUCUCUGAUUGCAGACUGAAUAUUCUGUUGAUCCCUGUAAAGCCAAUGAUGUAGCUGAUAAUGGGUGUGUCCACACCAAAAGGACCAGUGUCACGAUGCCAACCAGUGGUUACAUCAUCUAUGGCGUUGCCCAUCAGCACUCAGGGGGCAUUGGUGCAGCUCUAUACAGAGAGGUGAUUUCAAUAUCUAAUUUGCAUUCACGUGGCAUGCCUUUUCUUUUGUCUAUGUUCUACUUUCCAUUGUAAUUUUAUCAUUCUUAUCUGCCAGGUUGGUGGUAAACUGGUGAUGUAUGAAGACGUGUACUAGUUCUUGAUCUUUUUAAUUUUCUUGUUAGAUUAUGCUUUGAAAGUUAAUGUUUCUUUAGUCUGCAAAAGAAUUGUCAGCUAUGACAGAAGUUACUAUUUUUUGCACAUAAAGAAUGUUUUAAGAUUAUGUAAAUGUUUAUAACAUUAAUUAGAUGUUGAGGACACGUGAGUGUGACAUUAUCAUAUUUCCAAAUAGACUAUUUUUGAGCUUCCAGCUGCUUGAUUUGUUUGUCAUCCUCAAAGUUUCGAUAAUAUUGAUGUUUCAUAUAUAGUGUAAUGGUCCCUCAACUUGGUUGGAUGUUUUCCCUUUUUGUUUUGAAGAACAAUUCUUCAUUACUCAUUUUAUGUAAUUUGUUCAGAACCCACUGUGAUGAUUGUGGAAGGAAUUUGAUUCCCUAAUGUCUUCUUUCAUUGAUAUGCUUGUUUUUGGUGAAAUCAGGAUGGACAACUUAUGUGCUCUUCAAUUCCAGCUUAUGGAAAUGGGAUGGAAGCUGGAAACGAGGCUGGAUAUAUUGUAGGAAUGUCGACCUGUUAUCCUAAACCAGGCUCCCUCAGGAUAACAGAUGGGGAAACUCUGAUUGUGGAAUCUAGCUAUAGUAGCUCCCGCGAACACACAGGAGUCAUGGGGCUUUUCUACAUUUUGGUUGCAGACAGGGUGCCCGAGUCCAGUUCAUUCUUAGAUGUUUUCAACAAGGUAAGAUUCCCUUUUCAUAUUUUUAGAUAGUGAGUUCAGCAAUACAAGUUAUUAUGCUUGUGAGCACAUGCGAAAAUACGGCAGAUACAAAAAACUUAUUCUAGAAUUGAGUAGGAAUAUUGUCUUGCCUCUUAGAUUAUCGAAAUGGUAUAGAGAAUGGAUUAUAGACAGUCGUUUGAUUAGUGUUGAUGAGAAGAUUAUUAUUUGCGGGAGUAGAAACUGUUUAAUAUGAUUCUUAGGCGAUAAUAGAACUAUAAUCCUCUUCGUGAUUUUAACAAGAAACACCAAGCAUCUGAUAAGUGAUAACUGCCUGGUUUUUGCAGAUGG